rnacentral:rRNA from 1 species
AUACGUAGGAACCGAGCGUUGUCCGGAUUUACUGGGCGUAAAGGGCGCGUAGGCGGCCUACUAAGUCCCAUGUGAAAUCUCCCGGCCUAACUGGGAGGGGUCAUGAGAAACUGGUAGGCUCGAGGGCAGCAGAGGAGAGUGGAAUUCCCGGAGUAGUGGUGAUAUGCGUAGAUACCGGGAGGAACACCCGAGGCGAAGGCGACUCUCUGGGCUGCAUCUGACGCUGAGGCGCGAAAGCAUGGGGAGCAAACCGGAUUAGAAACCCCUGUAGUCC